UGCUUUUGCGAAAUGUCCACUUACGAGCU
rnacentral:piRNA from 1 species